UAGGUUUCAGAGUUUGAGAUGAAGAGGGGAAAUUCUUACCUUUUUCAGACUGUGUAUAGACUUGCCCAGGCGUUCCAAAGAUGGAAAAGCUUUGCUCUUGUGAAGUAUCCUGGAACCCCAAAAGCUCCAAAACGGAAGUCAGCCAGAGAGAGGAAGAGGCAACGCCGGGUCUCAAAGAUCCAUAUCGCAGUGGAACUUGGGAGCUGGAAGGAGAAGAAAAGCACCUUCUCCAGCCAUCAAGGUGAGGGCUCACGGCAAAAUUAAGGAAGAGGUGAGACAAAGAGAGUUCUGGGCCCAGGCAUUUCUCACCUGAAUUGCAGCACAGCAGGGGUUAUUUCAGACCUAGGAGAAACUCUUGCAUAUUGUGCAGUCUUGGACCUUGAUUAAACAAAGCAUUUGACUUGAUUUCAGCCACUGGCAUAACAGCACCAGUGCAAACCCCUUGUGCAAAUGGGCAAAGCUGAUCUAAAUCACAGUUUGCACCAGUGCCUGCUGAGCCCCAAUUUCAAGAAUAAGUAAAUUGCACCGAUGCAAAUCAUGAUCUUUAUCUGUCUACACUAUGGGUUUGCAUCACCACAGUUACCCAUGGCUAAAAAUCAGCGCAAAUCCCCCAGGGCAGACAAAGCCUCAGUGGGAAGUAGGGAGCGGACAAGAUUUUAGAUAGAGAUUAAUGAUGCAGAGAUCUGGACUGAUCUGCAACUCCAGGCCACUGUGCUAGCCCCUUGCUGUGCAAUGCUUUUUAACCUUUCGCAUCAGGCCAACCAAACUGAGUUAACCCACUACCCAGCCAGCAAACGUGGGUGUUCACUAUUUGCCUGCUGUAGAAGACGGGUCUAUUUUCACCUGGACACAACAUGUAACGUCAUCCGCUAGUAAUUUGGAUUUUCUCUCUUCACUUUUUUUUUUUUUAAAUCUAGGUCACCAGAAAAGUUCUUGUUCCA